rnacentral:lncRNA from 1 species
CAAUGUUAAUUCCUUAAUGGGUUGUUCUCAUAACAACCCAUUGAGGAAGCUGCAACACAGAAAGGUUAUUGAACUUGCCCAAGGUCAAACAGCGAAAAAAUGGUGGAGACAGGGUGAAAACUCAGAACUUCAGAUCCCACGUUUGCAAUCACUCCAAGUGACUGUCUCAUUCUAGUCUGGUAUCAACUUUCAAAGCCCAAAGUACAUCACUCAUGGCUGUCAAAGGAAAACCAUUUCUUGUUUCAACUAACACAAAUCACCUUAAGAUAUUUCUUCUCACGUUUAAUGAUUUUGAACAGCUACCAUUUGCUGAUUUCUUCAGGGUAGGCUGGGUUCCUGCACAUUCCAUCUGGUGCUUGAAAAUCUCAAGCAUUUUGGGAUAAGUCUUGGUUACUUACAACAGAACGUCACAUAACAUUUUGAAUAUUUGCAGAUUGCUUAGUGCAAUGUCAGGUUUAUCUUUUCUCAGUUGCUCCUAGCCUUUGGCUGAGUUUUUAAUUAAAACUCAAAUUACAGAUUACACUCGUUCUACAGCAAUGGAACAGGGAAAACAGACACAGUGUGUUAAUGAACACAUCCCAGCAUCUUGGUUUAAUGAAUUGAAAAAAAAAAUCUAAAUGAGGACAUGUGGACCAUUACAAUCAAAUCGAAUGCUUAUAAUUAAUAUCAGAGAGGUGGAAUAGUGUUUACGAUUCUAAGUCAGAGACAUGUCCUUAUAAAUUCCCAUCCCCGAUGCUGAGUCAAUUUCCCUUUCUCUCAAAAUGCCCAAGUACGUACUUAGAGUAACCAGAGCCGUGCUGGCCAGAAGGUACCUGGUAAGCCGUAGUAAUCUCACACUUGGGCAUUCCUUUGGGAAGGAUGCUUUCUUUAGGCUUCUCACCAUCUCCCACCGUGAUGCAUGCAGUCAUUAUUCAUUCAACAGAUUGGCUGCACCAUAUGUAGAAUUGGCUGAGAGUCCCUGUCCCUUUGGCAGAGUUAGAUAAGACCUCUGGCUGUUGGCCAAUUGCCCACUCUCUUGAAAGAGUUCUUUGAUAUCCAUUCCACAUGCUUUCACCUCUCAGAGCACCAAGUGUAAACCCCAAGCCCUUCCUCCUGCCCUGGCCCUAUGGCCAUGACUGUGGUAUUCCUGUCUCCUUGCUCUGACCCUGCUAUUUCUAUUUCUCUCCUCGGUCUCUCAGUCUCUUUCUGUCCCCCUCCGUUCUUCUCAGCAGACACCCCUCAGUUCUUAUCUUCUCCUCUAAGUGUUUCGCUACCUUCUUGCUUUAAAUGAAAACUCACUCUCCUAGAGGCCACCCCGCUUCCUCAGCAGCACUGCGGAAUUUUCUUUUUCCUCUCGCACCUACCGCGUGAAGCGGCUUUGUGUUCUUGCUGCUUCUCCUGGGUCCUUCUAGAUGGAUUCCUCUGUCCUCUUUUAAAACCUGUAGCUCCUUUGAGGUUCAGGCCCUCUGACUCGACAGCCCAGGCCUCAGCCAGCAUUCCGGUCACUUCCGCCCAUCUCUCCCAGUCUAUGAAACUGGCUCCUAUUCUGCCUGCACCUCCAGACCUGCCAUCAUUGGUGUGACUUCAGUCCAUGUGGGCCAUACUCCAACACUCAUGCCCUUGACCCCUGCCUCUGCACAGACCUUCUCCCCUCCACACCCGUCAUCCAUGUCUUUGGUGACACUUGGGGAAUUUUUAUCACCAGGAGCUGCUGCUUCCCCACGGUAGCAACUUCACACUUCCUGCUGGCCUCCCUCUCCUUUUUCCCAUUCAGCUUGCUUCUUUAACUGCACCCAUGAGGACUGUCCUUGGACCUCAUCAGAACCUCGGACCCCUCUAAUUCCCCAGGGGUCCAGCUUGCUCCCUUCCUCUGCUUAUUAACCCAGGAUUUUACAGUCACAAGCCUAACUGCUGAGCAGCUGUUUAAGGGGAGUCACUAAUAAUCAGUCCUCACAAAACAGCAUGGGAGAUGGGAGGGUGGUGCCUUAGGAAAGAAUUGGAUUAUUGUUGUCAGAAUGUGGGGAAGGGUGCCAGGAAGGGCCAAAGGACCAAUGACUACUCCAGUUUCUUCUGCCAUUUUAGCUUCCUGACAGGUUGAGUUAUUUAGAUUAUUGCAGUUAUUUGCCUGAUUUUUCUAUUCAUGUUGAUGAAUACCUAACUGGAGAUGUCACCUCUUUCCAAAUGAAACCUGAAUUCUUGGCUCAAAGUUCCCUGACAGAAAAGCUUCUACGUUAUACACAGGCACUCUGUUCUCCAAGAUUGCAAUGGCUGAGGAUAUCUUUUCUCAGGCUGAGAGAACAUAUGGACAAGAGUAUGCUACUUCUCCUAGUCUGUAGCCUUUUGCAAGACAUCUGCUGCAGUAUUUUUUGUUCUUGGAUUGUGGACUCUUAUUUGCCACUUGUUUUCAUAAAUAUUAAUCUUUGAAAUCUUGACUGAUGGAAAAGUUGUUCUUUUUGGGUCCUUUGCUUCUUUAUUAUAUGCACCAUCUUUAAAUAAUGGUGUCACAAUAGAGCAAAUGAGGUUUUUCUUAUGAAAAAUCCCUGUUUGAAAAUCAAGGGCUAAAAUUUCUAAUGCAGUAACUGAUUUGCUCCCUGCCCCCCCCAAAUUUGAAUUCUGUCCCCUUUUCCUUUAGUUAACAAAAUUUAUUACUAUUGGAAUAAUGCUUCUACAUUGGCUUUGCAAAAAAAAAGUUGUCUUUCACUUUAGCCCUUGAAGACAUUGAAGCUCAAAUUCCCCAGGCUGAUGGAGUCCCGAGGUGGGAAAACUACAACUUCUUUGUCUGAAACUAUGAACUUGAGAACGGGGUCAUGAUUUUGAACUGGACUACAAAUAACCCCUUCAGGGUAUUUGCCAAUGGUUUUAAUUUCCAAUCAUACCUUUGCAUGAGAAGGCAAUUGACAAGUCUAUGAUGGAAGAUAGAGUGAGCACACCUUAUACCCCAGACUGUUAUCCAGUGACCAUGGAUAAAGUUUUCCUGAACUUAGGUGGCCUCUGCCAUGCUCUAGGGAGGACAUGAAAAGCAGUGUGUGUGCUCCAUACAGCUUUUUAGGCUCAUUUUUUAUUAUGCGUGGUAAUUCCCGAUUUAUUUUACUGUUAACUCUGGAGAUCAGUAAAUUAGCCCAUUUAAAAAAUUUCUUUACAUUUUUUAUUACAUAUAUUUGUCAUGUUUAAGAGAAUUUGGUAUAUUAGAAUAGUGAGUACAAUUUAAAAUAAUCUAGUUACUAAUUUACACCUGUGAUUUUAAGAUGAAAGGUAUAAAAAUAUUUUAUCACAACUUGAUACACUGUAUUUGAGAUUACAUUAUUAGAAUUUUUUGAUGCACAUUUUUUAUUAAAGUAUAGUUAAUUUAUAAUGUUGUGCCAAUUUCUGCUGUAUAGCAAAGUGACCCAGUCAUACAUAUGUAUACAUUCUUUGUCUCAUAUUAUCCUCCAUCACAGUCUAUCCCAAGAGACUGGAUAUAGUUCCUUGUGCUAUUCAGUAGGAUCUCAUUGCUUAUCCAUUCUAAUAAUAGUUUGCAUCUACUAACCCCAAACUUCCAGUCCGUCCCACUCCCUUCCUCCUCCCCCUCGGCAACCACAAGUCUGUUCUCCAUGUCUGUGAGUCUGUUUGUGUUUUGUAGAUAGAUUCGUUUGUGCCAUAUUUUAGAUUCCACACGUAAGUGAUAUCAUAUGGUAUUUGUCUUUCUCUUUCUGACUUACUUCACUUAGUUGCAAAAUUAUUUUAAUUAUUCCUCAAUUGUUAAAUUUUCUUUUAAUGGUAAGAAUGAAAAACACUUCAUACAGAUACCUGAUCUGAAGGCCUAUUAGCAAAGGGUAUCAGUGUGUUAAGCUAAUACGUCAAACACAACAGGAGGCUCAUUUCGAAGGGAAUUUAUUUGCUCACAAAGCCAUGGGGUCAUCUCUUCCUUAGCAAACUACCUGUUCAACAUUGAAUUUAAUCUUUUUUUAGACUAGCUUGCAAGAUCUCAUUGCAAGAUCUUGAGGGGGAUACUACCCUCAAGUAUGCCAUCAAUAUUGGUACCUGAGUCUCUGCUACUACUAAACUCUGUCUAGUUAUCAGUUCCAGUGAUGCUAAAUCCUUUCUUUUCUCUGUAAGCCUGAGAACCACUGGCAUAUGCACGUUUUACUCAAGACUGUCUAAUGAGAAUUUCUGUAAACUGAAUAUUUGGAAUUGAUUUUCUCAUCAAGUUUACUAGUAAACUUGAGUUGAACGGGGUUUGGAUCCCAUUGCUCAAGAUUCUUGGUGUUUGGCUAUAUCAGAACCGUUCUGAUUGGUGGUAGAAUUCCAGGAUGUUCUGCCAGUAUUAGUUGCUAUGCUCUCCAUCAUCAACCACACACACUUAUCAAAAGCCUUCUUUUACAAAGUACAAUGCGACCAAGUUCUGAGGCACCAGGAAGUAUUAGUUAGCUGUCCACAAGAAGUUUGUGCUCUAAGGUAGAAUGCAUCCCAGGCAAGUACAUGUUAAAAGUAAAUAAGGUGCAUUAAGCCUAUGCUGUCUGCUCAGUGAAUUAUAUAGGUGUUAGAGGCAGCAUGUUAAGUCAUGCACCAAAGACAUUUUUGACAGGUUUGGGAUGGCUACAAGCCAUUUCCUGGGAAUUAUUCAUAAAGUUCGAAAUACUAAAAAUGAGUGUUACUGGUAACUUUGCAGGAAUAAAUUAUUAUGAGACUUUUGGUCCCAGGAAGUUUUAGAAAGGAGGUAGAGUUUUAGCUGCUCCUCUGAUAUGCUAAGGACUGAGUUGUUGGUGCCCUCCUCACCCUGCAUCCCUCUUAUUAGUAAGGAGCAUCACCAUCUAUCUGCUCAGUCAAAACCUUAGGUGUCAGUCUUGAUCUGACCUUCUCUCUCACCCACAUAGCAAAUGCAUCACCAAGUCCCAUUGAUUCUGCCUAUAAUGUUUCUUGAACUUGCCCAGCUGUGUUUGCUCUGCCACUCCUGGACCUAAACCCAUCAUCCUGACCUUAAGACAUCAUCAUCUCCUGCCUAAAUUACUCUCCACUCUCCUAAUUUACCUCCCUCCUGUGCCAUCUUUUUAAUCUCUUCCCCUUACUUUAAUGUAGCCACGUAAUAUCCUUUCUGUUUCUCAAACAAAGUGAACUCUUUCUAUUUAUAGACUUUGCAUUUGCUAUUCCUUCUGCCUGGAACGCUGUUCCUCUGGCAAUUUGUAUACCUGUCUCCUUUUAUCCUUCAGGUCUCAGCUCAGAUAUCAACCACAUUCUCGCUUCAAAAGCCUUUGUUUUGAAGAAUGCCUUUUUUCUGCUGCCCUGGCCAUGUGGUGUUCUCAGCUUCUCUCCAAGGCUGGCACCAAAGAUAUAUAGAAGCCUUUUCCAGCCACACCCCCCACAUCAAAAAGAUAACAUCCCAUGGAUGUGUUCAUAUCACCCCUUCUCACAUUGUCUGCUGCUCACCCCUCACCUGUCCCACUGGAGUUUGUGAGUGUAGAGAUGUGAGGAGCCUCUUUCACUACCUCUGCGUCCUCUAAGGUUGUGUGCAAGUCUUCUCCCUUCUGUGGCUUUGAUUUUUUAUUUUUAUUUAUUUAUUUAUUUUUGUCUUUUUAGAGCCACACCUGCAGUAUAUGGAGGUUCCCAGGCUAGGGGUCCAAUCGGAGCUGCAGCUGCUGGCCUACGCCACAGCCACAGCAAUGCAGGAUCUGAGCCAUGUCUUUGACCUACACCAUAUCUCUUGGCAACAUCAGAUCCUUAACCCACUGAGCAUGGCCAGGGAUUGAACCCGUAUCCUCAUGGAUACCAGCUGUGUUCGAUAUCGCUGAGCCACAGUGGGAACUCCCUUUCUGUGGCUUUGAAUAUCCAUGCCCCGAUCCUCCUUGUGUGGGGGAGGUGGGGUGCUCUCAGUGGGCUGACACCUGUUCAGUGUCCAGCAUGGACAGCACAAAUAAAACAAGUUACAACUAAAAUUUUAGAUGGGAUUUUUUCAGACCCCAUCUAGAAUAACUACCCCCAGUUGUAUUCUAUUACAUUAUCCUCUUCAUUUUUUUAUAGCACAUUUCAGAAAAUGCAAACAUCUAAGUUCCUUUUUUUGGUUAUUGUUUAUUAUCUGUCUCCAUGUAUAGGCCUCUCAAUCCAUGAGGAUAAGAAUCUUAUCUUUUGUGUUUAUUACUGUAUCUGCAGUGCAUAUCACAGCAUCUUGGAUUACUCAGUAAACAUUUGUAAAGUGGAUAAAGAAUGCAGCUCCUAUAAGCAGAGGAGGGAGAAAGGAGCCUUCCUUUGCACUGUGAGAAAAGUGCAAAAUAGUUCAGGAUGUGGUUUGUGAACAUAUUAUCCAGAGCACUGUUCUUAUUGAGAGUGAUCCUGUUUAUAUGGUAAAGCUUUAUUUUAAUUGUAUUGGGAUAUAAGUCUGGAAAGUAAUGCUAACUUAUAGAAGGUCUUAGAGCUGCUGGAGUUCCUGUCGUGGCGCAGUGGUUAACGAAUCCGACUGGGAACCAUGAGGUUGCGGGUUCGGUCCCUGCCCUUGCUCAGUGGGUUGACGAUCCGAUGUUACCGUGAGCUGUGAUGUAGGUUGCAGACGUGGCUCGGAUCCCGCGUUGCUAUGGCUCUGGUGUAGGCCAGUGGCUACAGCUCCGAUUCGACCCCUAGCCUGGGAACCUCCAUAUGCCGCAGGAGCGGCCCAAAGAAAUAGCAAAAAGA